rnacentral:rRNA from 1 species
UACGUAGGGUGCAAGCGUUAAUCGGAAUUACUGGGCGUAAAGCGUGCGCAGGCGGUUCGCUAAGACAGAUGUGAAAUCCCCGGGCUUAACCUGGGAACUGCAUUUGUGACUGCACAGCUGGAGUGCGGCAGAGGGGGAUGGAAUUCCGCGUGUAGCAGUGAAAUGCGUAGAUAUGCGGAGGAACACCGAUGGCGAAGGCAAUCCCCUGGGCCUGCACUGACGCUCAUGCACGAAAGCGUGGGGAGCAAACAGG